AGCGAACGCUGGCGGCAGGCCUAACACAUGCAAGUCGAACGAAGUCUUCGGACUUAGUGGCGGACGGGUGAGUAACACGUGGGAACGUGCCUUUAGGUUCGGAAUAACUCAGGGAAACUUGUGCUAAUACCGAAUGUGCCCUUCGGGGGAAAGAUUUAUCGCCUUUAGAGCGGCCCGCGUCUGAUUAGCUAGUUGGUGAGGUAAAGGCUCACCAAGGCGACGAUCAGUAGCUGGUCUGAGAGGAUGAUCAGCCACAUUGGGACUGAGACACGGCCCAAACUCCUACGAGAGGCAGCAGUGGGGAAUCUUGCGCAAUGGGCGAAAGCCUGACGCAGCCAUGCCGCGUGAAUGAUGAAGGUCUUAGGAUUGUAAAAUCCUUUCACCGGUGAAGAUAAUGACUGUAGCCGGAGAAGAAGCCCCGGCUAACUUCGUGCCAGCCGCCGCCGUAACAC
rnacentral:rRNA from 1 species